AUUGAACGCUGGCGGCAUGCCUUACACAUGCAAGUCGAACGGCAGCAUGGAGAGCUUGCUCUCUGAUGGCGAGUGGCGAACGGGUGAGUAAUGCAUCGGAACGUACCGUGUAAUGGGGGAUAACGUAGCGAAAGUUACGCUAAUACCGCAUACGACCUGAGGGUGAAAGCAGGGGAGCGCAAGACCUUGCGUUAUACGAGCGGCCGAUGUAAGAUUAGCUAGUUUGUGAGGUAAAGGCUCACCAAGGCGACGAUCUGUGGCGGGCCUGAGAGGAUGAUCCGCCACACUGGGACUGAGACACGGCCCAGACUCCUACGGGAGGCAGCAGUGGGGAAUUUUGGACAAUGGGGGCAACCCUGAUCCAGCCAUGCCGCGUGAGUGAAGAAGGCCUUCGGGUUGUAAAGCUCUUUCGGCCGGGAAGAAAUCGCACAGGCUAAUACUCUGUGUGGAUGACGGUACCGGCAUAAGAAGCACCGGCUAACUACGUGCCAGCAGCCGCGGUAACAC
rnacentral:rRNA from 1 species